CUUCAGGGUAGUAGCAAUCCAUAACCAUGUGCGGUGCGAAUUGUUGAGGGUGGAAACGAGAAAAGGAUCUGUGACAAGGGCUUUAACUUGGAGGUAGAUAGAUAGAGAGAGAGGAAGAGGGACAUUACCCACCAUACUGAAGUUUUACCUCAGUGUUUUGAUCUGGAUUUGAACUUGGGCCACUCCUCAUUUAGUUGCUCAGUUAAGACCAGAAGACUCAUUAGUGAUCUCCUUUAUCACCUUCCACAUCAGCAAAUCACGUCCUUUCAUAGCACCAGUUGAUAAGCUUACCUACAUAAUCUUCACAGGUGAAGAUAAUGUGGCUGGAGAAAUGG